rnacentral:lncRNA from 1 species
CUCCAGCCACGAAAGGAGCUCGUUGCAUUUAUCCAAUAUUUUAUUUUUAUCAGACUCACUAAUCUUGCCCUUCAAACCUUCAUCACUCACAACACUCUUCAUGUUAAAAGCAUAGGAUUCUAAGGCAUUCUUUGCAGCAAUUUUCUCCCUCUGGACCUCAUCUUCAGCUUUAUAUUUCUCAGCAUCCAGAACCAUGCGCUCAAUCUCCUCCUUGCUCAGGCGGCCCUUGUCAUUGGUGAUGGUGAUCUUGUUCACCUUGCCGGUGCUCUUGUCCGUGGCUGUGACAUUGAGAAUACCAUUGGCAUCAAUGUCAAACGUCACCUCGAUCUGAGGAACUCCCCUGGGUGCUGGAGGGAUUCCAGUCAGGUCAAACCGCCCCAGCAGGUUGUUGUCCUUUGUCAUGGCCCUCUCGCCCUCAUACACCUGGAUCAGCACCCCGGGUUGGUUGUCAGAGUAGGUGGUGAAAAUCUGUGUCUGCUUGGUGGGGAUGGUGGAGUUGCGCUUUAUCAGGGCAGUCAUCACGCCCCCAGCCGUCUCCAGCCCCAGGGACAGGGGAGCCACGUCCAGCAGCAGCAGGUCCUGUACCUUCUCAGACUUGUCCCCCAUCAGGAUGGCUGCUUGUACCGCAGCCCCAUAUGCUACGGCCUCAUCAGGGUUGAUGCUCUUGUUGAGAUCACGUCCAUUGAAGUAGUCCUGAAGCAGCCGCUGCACCUUGGGGAUGCGGGUGGAGCCCCCUACUAAAACAAUGUCAUGGAUUUUAGCCUUAUCCAUCUUGGCAUCCCGAAGCGCUUUUUCUACAGGCUCCAGGGUACCCCUAAACAGGUCUGCACACAACUCUUCAAAUCGAGCUCUGGUGAUGGAUGUAUAGAAGUCAAUGCCUUCAUAAAGUGAAUCAAUUUCUAGGUUGGCCUGGGUGCUGGACGACAGGGUCCUCUUGGCCCUCUCGCAGGCGGUGCGCAGCCGCCUCACGGCUCGCUUGUUCUGGCUGAUGUCCUUUUUGUGUUUCCUCUUGAACUCCUCCACGAAGUGGCUCACAAGCCUGUUGUCAAAGUCCUCCCCACCCAGGUGAGUGUCCCCAGCAGUGGCCUUUACCUCAAAAAUCCCAUCAUCUAUGGUCAGAAUUGACACAUCAAAUGUGCCUCCACCCAGAUCAAAAAUCAGGACAUGUCGUUCUCCUUGACCUCCUUUAUCUAAACCAUAGGCAAUGGCAGCAGCCGUGGGCUCAUUGAUGAUUCUUAGCACAUUAAGUCCAGCAAUCACACCUGCAUCCUUAGUAGCCUGACGUUGAGAGUCAUUGAAAUAGGCUGGCACGGUAAUCACUGCAUUGGUGACAGGGUGGCCCAAAAAGGCCUCAGCAGUCUCCUUCAACUUAGUCAAUACCAUCGAAGAGAUUUCCUCAGGGUAGAAAGCUUUAUUCUCCCCUUUGUAGGACACAAGGACUUUGGGCUUGCCUCCUUCAUUAAUCACUUGAAAAGGCCAAAGUUUCAUAUCUGCUUGUACAACAGGAUCAUUAAAUUUCCUGCCGAUCAGACGUUUAGCAUCAAAAACAGUGUUCUGGGGAUUCAUUGCUACCUGGUUCUUGGCCGCAUCCCCAAUGAGCCGCUCGGUGUCUGUGAAGGCCACGUAGCUGGGGGUGGUGCGGUUGCCCUGGUCGUUGGCGAUGAUCUCCACCUUGCCGUGCUGGAACACCCCCACACAGGAGUAGGUGGUGCCCAGGUCGAUGCCUAUGGCGAUUCCCUUGGCAGUAGCCAUGGUUCUCUGAGGCCUAUGGAGAAAGA